rnacentral:rRNA from 1 species
AGUAUAAUAGUUAACUUUGAAACUGCGAAUGGCUCAUAUAUCAUUAUAGUUUAUUUGAUGAAGAAUACUAAUUGGAUAACCGUAGUAAUUCUAGAGCUAAUACAUGUAUAAAGUCUUGUAGACUGCAUUUAUUAGAAUGAAAACCAUAGGUUUCGGCCUAUUCGUGAGUAAUAAUAACUAAUCAUAUCGUAUGCUUAUGUAACGAUGUGUCUUUCAAGUUUCUGCCCUAUUCACUUUCGAUGGUAGUGGAUUGGACUACCAUG